rnacentral:tRNA from 1 species
GAUAAAGUGGUCUAAUGGUUAAGGCAUCUGCCUAGAAAGCAGGAGACCAUGAAUUGAAGUCCCACUUUAGCU